GAUGAACGCUGACAGAAUGCUUAACACAUGCAAGUCGAUGGGGAAGUGGUGCUUGCACCAUGGUAACCAUGGCGGACGGGUGAGUAACGCGUAAGGAACUUACCUGCGGGACCGGGAUAACAGCAGGAAACUGCUGACAAGACCGGAUAAGGUCAUUAAGCUGCAUAGCUUAGUGAUGAAAGGAGACGCCUGCGGAGAGCCUUGCGUCCUAUUAGCUAGUUGGAGGGGUAACGGCCCACCAAGGCGAAGAUAGGUAGCCGGCCUGAGGGGGUGGACGGCCACAGGGGGACUGAGAUACGGCCCUUACUCCUACGGGAGGCAACAGUGGGGAAUAGUGGACAAUGGGGGCAACCCUGAUCCAGCAAUUCUGUGUGCACGAAGACGGUUUUCGGAUUGUAAAGUGCUUUCAGCAGGGAAGAAGGAAGUGACGGUACCUGCAGAAGAAGCGACGGCUAAAUACGUG
rnacentral:rRNA from 1 species